CAUGUGUCUGCACUGUGGCCCGCUGACUCAAUGUGAGCCCGCAGGUUGAAAUCGUCCUUCCUCACUGUUUCACCUCCCGGUCAAUGAGUUUUUGGCGUCUGCUCGUCUCCUCCUGUAGCCGUUUCUCCAGGUCCUCCCUCCUUUUCCUCUCCUCCUCCAGCGCCUGCUUUCGCAUUUCCAUCUCUUGCUCCUGGAGAAUAAUUUAAUUACAUGCUACUUCAGCUUGGAAUUUAGUUUGAGUUGUGUCCCCUAGUAUCAUUUUGGGGGGGGGAAAAAACUGUCUACAUUCUAUAUCAGACCUUGUACUCGAGAAGGCGGUUCUUUUCUGCCUGAGCUUCUCUCAGCAUACGCUCCAUCUCCUCGAGCUUGGCCACGUUUGAUGUACUGGCACUGGAGCAGAGAAACACAUAUGACACACAUCAGGAACAAAAACACAAGGAUCUUUUUUUCCCCUGUAAAAACCACCACCUGGUGCACAGUCACGAUCAAACAGCAUGUCGACUUUUUCAUGCUACAUUGCAAUCAAUGUAAUGAAUAAAACCUACUCGAGCUGCAGUGGACAUUUUA